GGUUUGGUGUACUUGGCCCGCCACGGCUACGUGUGUGAGUGCCGAGUCGCGCCUGCCAUCCUUCUAGAGAACGUUUCUACCCUUCACUGGGCCGGGAACGCCAUCUAGAUCUUUUACUUUGAAAAAAUUAGAGUGUUUAAAGCAGGCUUUUGCUAUGAAUACAUUAGCAUGGAAUAAUAAUUUAGGACUUCGGUUCUAUUUUGUUGGUUUCUAGGACUGAAGUA
rnacentral:rRNA from 1 species